rnacentral:rRNA from 1 species
GACGAACGCUGGCGGCGGGCUUAACACAUGCAAGUCGAACGGAAAGGCCCUGCUUUUGUGGGGUGCUCGAGUGGCGAACGGGUGAGUAACACGUGAGUAACCUGCCCUUGACUUUGGGAUAACUUCAGGAAACUGGGGCUAAUACCGGAUAGGAGCUCCUGCUGCAUGGGGGGGGUUGGAACGUUUCGGCGGGUGGGGCUGGACUCGCGGCUUAUCAGCUUGUUGGUGGGGUAGUGGCUUACCAAGGGUUUGACUGGUGGCCGGCCUGAGAGGGUGGCCGGCCACAUUGGGACUGAGAUACGGCCCAGACUCCUACGGGAGGCAGCAGUGGGGAAUAUUGCACAAUGGGCGGAAGCCUGAUGCAGCAACGCCGCGUGCGGGAUGACGGCCUUCGGGUUGUAAACCGCUUUCGCCUGUGACGAAGCGUGAGUGACGGUAAUGGGUAAAGAAGCACCGGCUAACUACGUG